AGAGUUUGAUCCUGGCUCAGGAUGAACGCUAGCUACAGGCUUAACACAUGCAAGUCGAGGGGCGAGCAUUUUCAGUUUGCUUGCAAACCGGAGAUGGCGACCGGCGCACGGGUGAGUAACACGUAUCCAACCUGCCGAUAACUCGGGGAUAGCCUUUCGAAAGAAAGAUUAAUACCCGAUGGUAUAAUCAGACCGCAUGGUCUUGUUAUUAAAGAAUUUCGGUUAUCGAUGGGGAUGCGUUCCAUUAGGCAGUUGGUGAGGUAACGGCUCACCAAACCUUCGAUGGAUAGGGGUUCUGAGAGGAAGGUCCCCCACAUUGGAACUGAGACACGGUCCAAACUCCUACGGGAGGCAGCA
rnacentral:rRNA from 1 species